rnacentral:tRNA from 1 species
GGGAAUAUAUCUCAGUUGGUAGAGUGUGUGCCUCACAAGCACAAAGACCCUAGGUUCAACCCCAGCACCACCA